UACGGAGGGAGCUAGCGUUGUUCGGAAAUACUGGGCGUAAAGCGCACGUAGGCGGCGCAGCAAGUCAGGGGUGAAAUCCCGGGGCUCAACCCCGGAACUGCCCUUGAAACUGCAGUGCCAGAAUUCUGGAGAGGCGAGUGGAAUUCCGAGUGUAGAGGUGAAAUUCGUAGAUAUUCGGAAGAACACCAGUGGCGAAGGCGACUCGCUGGACAGACAUUGACGCUGAGGUGCGAAAGCGUGGGGAGCAAACAGG
rnacentral:rRNA from 1 species